CCGGUGUCCUGGCGGAACUGGGUCCAGCUGGGGAGGUCAAUAAUGUAAGGGGCCAGCGAGGGGUCUGCCUGGCCCAAGGGGAUGCUGUGGGCCAGGCUCCCAAGCCCAAAACGUUGGCCCUUCUGCUGGACAAACUGCUGCUCGAUGAAGCUGCAGACGGUGGCACUGUAGGGGUGCCAGGUGCCCAGCCCGUCCUGCCAUUCCCACACGGCCACAGCCGCGGGGCUGGUGUACACCUGCACCAGGGAAGGGCUUGGGGCCAUGGCCAUCUUCCCAAGGAGUCCCGCUGCUUUCCCAAACAGCUUCAGACCCCUCUGGCCUGGAGUCCCGGGGUCAUUGCCCAGCGCCUCCGGCAGAUGGUGACAUUUCUCCCACUUACGGACAGGAAACCAAGGCUGAAAGAGGUCAAGGGGACUGGGUGUGGUGGCUCACACCUGCAAUGCCAGUGUUUAGGGAGGCUGCGACAGGAGGGUGGUUUGAGCACAGGAGUUUGAGGCCAGCCUGGGCAACAUAGUGAGAUCCCAUCUCUGCAGAAAAUUUAAAAGUUAGCCAGGUGCGGAGGUGCAUGCCAAUAGUCCCAGCUACUCAAGAGGCUGAGGCAGGAGGAUGGCUUGAGCCCAGGAGUUAGAGGCUGCAGUGAGCUAUAAUCCCAAGGCACUCCAGCCUCGGUGACAAGAGGUCCCACCUCUACAAAAAAAAAAAAAAAAAAAUCAGAGCUGAUGCAGUGUGUGUGCACACUGAUGCCAGAGCCCAGGCCUGCUUCUUUCCAGGUGCUGCUCCACAUCUGUCUCCCUUCCAGGGAAGGUGGUCUUACCCUUCUCACUGAAACCUUGCUGGGGUAGUACAGUCUGGGACCACACCAGAAGCCAGGGUCCCCAUCUUAUCACAAGCCAUGCGACUAUGAGGACGUCACUGUAACUACCUCUCUCGUCAGGUCUUCGCCACAAAUCUCUGUCCAGAGGAUCGUGGCUGAGGCACCAUGGAAUGCUGCUGUUCUACUGGAGAUGCAAUUUCAUCCAAAAGAAAAAGGGAAAAGUAUCCAAAAGUCUUUCUAGUCUCCAGGCAUUUAGAAAAGCUUUAGAACAAGAUCUGCACUGGCACAAGAAUUUGAGUGGAAAUCACCCUGCCCAGCUGUGAGCCCCGGGGCGGGUGAGCCACACACUUGGAUCUCACUGCAGUUGUGGCCUCUGGGAAGAAGGCUUUGAAUGCAGAUUUUAAACAGGUACUCAACUCAUACUGAGCCACGGCUACUUUCAACUUAACAAUAUGUGAGAAACCCAUCUGA
rnacentral:lncRNA from 1 species